UAUGCCGUCUCACUGUGCUGCAUACAAUUACACACUACGUCGUACGAUUGAGACAAGGAAACUUGGAAUGACUUCUCAUAGGUUUCCCAGAGACUAUGGGUUGAGGAGGAAGUGGAAGUUUGUCGGCUUAGAUCUGGUGUCAUUCCAUCAGUGUUAAACUUCCCGGCUCAUCUUGGAAGAGUACGUGCCAGAAAGACCACAACCAAAAGCCUUGAGAUCUUAGACAGCGUCUCCCUGAGGUCCCUCUUUAUCUCCCCACACAUCCACCAACCACUGGAACACAUCUCCAAAGUUCUGCCGGGCCAGCUCAGCUUCCCCUCAGAAGAAGUGCUGCCACCUGCCAGAUGAAGGAGCCUUUUGAGAGGCAGCUGGCAUCGUGAUUGGACUGUACUUUGGUCUGUUCCAAUCCAGCUUCAGCUCCAGAGACGGCAGGCGGGACGAGUCAACGGAGGCCUGGUGGACGAAGGCAUGAAGCUGAGUACAAUCCAGAAAACAACACAGGAGGAGUGCAGGGCCAGAACAACCAGAGUAGCAUCGUAUGUCUCUUAGAAAACAUCAUAGUAUAGCCUUUGGUAUGAAAAAACGCCAUCAUAUCAUCGUAUAUUGUACAUAUAAGAAGUCAAAGGAAAGAGACAUACAUUGUAGAAUUGUAGUAAUUGUGGGCUGACUGAUUUACUGAUUAUCAGUAUUUUAUUUUUUACUGAUUUACGGUAAUAAAUACAUUUAAAAAUGGC